GCAAAUGCAAAGAACAGAAUACGGUCGUCAAAGAUCGCAUACUUCAGAGAGCCGCCGGUUGGUGUGAGACGGUGUAUGUCCUUGAUGAUUAUCCUCUGCGAGCAGUACACUGAAUUCCUUGGUCAUGAGAUAUCAGGGACAAUAGGUGUCACCGGUUUUCUACCGUUACAUAGAAGCUUAUUUCAAUAGACAUUGAGUAGUGGUCAGGCGAGAUGAGAUCAGAGAGGUCAUCCUUUUAUGAUGGCAAAUAAAGUGGUAACGCGGAAGUAUACAGGCUUUCGUCUUUAUG
rnacentral:ncRNA from 1 species